rnacentral:rRNA from 1 species
CACUCCUACGGGAGGCAGCAGUGGGGAAUAUUGCACAAUGGGCGCAAGCCUGAUGCAGCCAUGCCGCGUGUAUGAAGAAGGCCUUCGGGUUGUAAAGUACUUUCAGCAGUGAGGAAGGUGGGUAUGUUAAUAGCAUACUCAUUUGACGUUAGCUGCAGAAGAAGCACCGGCUAACUCCGUGCCAGCAGCCGCGGUAAUACGGAGGGUGCGAGCGUUAAUCGGAAUUACUGGGCGUAAAGCGCAUGCAGGUGGUUUGUUAAGUCAGAUGUGAAAGCCCGGGGCUCAACCUCGGAAUUGCAUUUGAAACUGGCAAACUAGAGUACUGUAGAGGGGGUAGAAUUUCAGGUGUAGCGGUGAAAUGCGUAGAGAUCUGAAGGAAUACCGGUGGCGAAGGCGGCCCCCUGGACAGAUACUGACACUCAGAUGCGAAAGCGUGGGGAGCAAACAGGAUUAGAUACCCUGGUAG